UGGGGAAUAUUGGACAAUGGGCGAAAGCCUGAUCCAGCAAUGCCGCGUGAGUGAUGAAGGCCUUAGGGUUGUAAAGCUCUUUUACCCGGGAUGAUAAUGACAGUACCGGGAGAAUAAGCCCCGGCUAACUCCGUGCCAGCAGCCGCGGUAAUACGGAGGGGGCUAGCGUUGUUCGGAAUUACUGGGCGUAAAGCGCACGUAGGCGGCUUUGCAAGUCAGAGGUGAAAGCCCGGGGCUCAACCCCGGAAUUGCCUUUGAGACUGCAUCGCUAGAAUUGUGGAGAGGUAAGUGGAAUUCCGAGUGUAGAGGUGAAAUUCGUAGAUAUUCGGAAGAACACCAGUGGCGAAGGCGGCUCACUGGCCUGGUAUUGACGCUGAGGUGCGAAAGCGUGGGGAGCAAACA
rnacentral:rRNA from 1 species